UUCUAAGCUGGGACAAAAAUUUGAUUAUCACUCCCCAAAGUUGCUGAAAGAAUGCACUUUAAACUAUGUGGUAUCUAUAACCUAUAUAACAGGUGAGAUUUGAAUAGGGGCUACAGGAUAACUGCUGGAGCAGAACAGUAAUGCAACCGGAGAGAAAAUGUCCAAGGACAGAGUCUAUUCCUUGGUUCUGUUUCUCAUUGCUUUUCGCUUAUUUACAUCAAGGUACCUUUUCCUUAACCUGAUUGCUUUUGGAGUAACCUGCAUGAUCCAAAGAGUUGCAGGUUCAAUAGAAGGCUAGGCUGCAGUACAAAACUGAUAGAUAAGUGCUGAAGAAGUGUGACAAACAGCAUUCUCAAUACAGAGAAAAGGGACCCUGACAAAAUCUUUGAAAGCAACUUCAAUUACCUACUCACCAAUUCAACCCUCUGUUUCCUGUCUCAUUUUUUCAUGCAUUCUCAAUUUACGGGAAGUACAUUGACAUACC
rnacentral:lncRNA from 1 species